CCUACGGGGGGCAGCAGUAGGGAAUCUUCCACAAUGGGCGCAAGCCUGAUGGAGCAACACCGCGUGAGUGAAGAAGGGUUUCGGCUCGUAAAGCUCUGUUGUUAAAGAAGAACACGUAUGAGAGUAACUGUUCAUACGUUGACGGUAUUUAACCAGAAAGUCACGGCUAACUACGUGCCAGCAGCCGCGGUAAUACGUAGGUGGCAAGCGUUAUCCGGAUUUAUUGGGCGUAAAGAGAGUGCAGGCGGUUUUCUAAGUCU
rnacentral:rRNA from 1 species